AUUGAACGCUGGCGGCAUGCUUUACACAUGCAAGUCGAACGGUAACAGGCCGCAAGGUGCUGACGAGUGGCGAACGGGUGAGUAAUGCAUCGGAACGUGCCCCGUCGUGGGGGAUAACGCAGCGAAAGCUGCGCUAAUACCGCAUACGAUCUAUGGAUGAAAGCGGGGGACCGUAAGGCCUCGCGCGAUUGGAGCGGCCGAUGUCAGAUUAGGUAGUUGUUGGGGUAAAGGCCCACCAAGCCAACGGACUGUAGCUGGUCUCAGAGGACGACCAGCCCUACGGGGACAUAGACACGACGAAGACUCCUACGGGAGGGAGCAGUGGGGAAUUUAGGACGAUGGGCGCAAAGCUGAUCCAGCAAUGCGGCGUGCAGGAAGGAGGCCUGCGGGUUGUGAACUGCUUUUGUACGGAACGAAACGGUCCUGGUUAAUACCCGGGGCUAAUGACGGUACCGUAAGAAUAAGCACCGGCUAACUACGUGCCAGCCGCCGCAGUAACAC
rnacentral:rRNA from 1 species